UUGGCGCCUGCGGGCCUCCGUAAGGCUGGGCGUCUCCAUAGCGACCGCGUGGGGCCGGCAGCUUCCACUGCUGGACUGCCGCACUCGGCGCCCGGGUCGUGCGGGCGUCGGGUGGGCUGGCGGGCGCCGAGGGUGACUCCAGACCCGGGAGGAUGAGCGGUGGUCCCCGGAGGAUUGCUUCCUCCUGGCUGACGGAUGGAGGGAAGGAGCUCCUGCAAGGCUGCCUGUGGGGCUGCUGAUCCCGGAGAGCGGCGCUGGGCAGGCUAGGAGCAAGCCUGCAUCCCCCUCCAGGGAGGCUCACGAGGGUGUCAAGGGGGUCAUCCUCUCUUCAUCAAUUUUAGACUUGAGUCAAAGUGGUCUUCACCAUUUAGGAGAGAUCUUUAAAGUUCUCAACUUCAUAGUGAGUGGGGCACCUCUGGGGCAUGGUACAUAUGUGCGACGUAGACGUGAUUGAAGGCUCUUCUUACGUGCAGUUUUCUUUUAGAGAGCAAUUCGAGAAUGAGAUAGAGGAGGGUUAACUUGGGGUUUUGUGUGCUGCUCUGAUGCCCUCUGAUGUCACAGAUGAUGAAGACUGAUGUCCUCUCCUGGGUUUGGGGGGCAACUUGCCGAAAACACCCUUGGCCUCUUAAAACACAACACCCCUAAAACAAGUGCAGUAAAAACUGUCACCCACAGCUUUGCAGAUGUCACAGGCUUGACUCUACCUGGUGCCUCUGGUGCCUUCACCAGGUCUGGCCCUUGCCUGCUUAGGAUCUAGUGGGUCUGUCUCCUCCUGCGAUUUCUAGAACAAGGUUCCAUCACACAGCCUUGAGGGGAGACGGGCAGGGGCCCUCACGAGCAGUUCUCUCACUGCCCAGCAGUCACGUAAUUUCCUUAAACCUCAUCUUGUCCUCACCUGGAAGAUGGGAAUGAGAAUCUAUUUAUGGGUUAUUAGGAGAAUUAAAUGAUAAGCAUAUAAGGCACAUUGUCCUCAACAUGGUACACACACCCACGCAUUGCACUGUUACCCUGUUGACUGACGGUUUUGUGUGCUUUUACAAAAGCCGUGUACUUAGAUUUUAAGUAGCUACUUAGUUUAUUAACCCCAUUUGUGUUACGCACCCUGUUUUUCCCGUCAGGCAAGCACUGGUCUUGCGGUCUCUUUUCUUAGCACUGACCUCCAUGAGUGAUUACUGGGUCAUCCUGUAAUGCACCACUUUUAAUGAAGCAAAUGCUCUCAGCUCUGAACAAGGAACCCAACAGUGUCAUGCAUAAAGAAAGAAGGAGGACAUUCCAGAGCCUUCUUCAGGCUUAAUGAAGAAACUUUGUUUAUGCUUCUCAGAAAACAGAGACGUCAAUAUACAUUUUACUACCAUGGCAACAAAUCACUGAGUGAGGUGACCACUCAGAGUGGUGGACUUUUAGGGGUUACGGGUGCGUUUGACCCCCAUCUUCUCACGGCCUCACAGAACCGAGGAGGGAGGACGGGCUCGUGUGAUGCAGUCAAGCCGGCCCCUGUGGGGCGACGGCAAAUGCUAGCUUGUCUCUCUGAGAUUUCCUUUUCUGGUGUUUACCAGGAUCUGCGGCUUCGGCGCUGGGGCUGAGAGAGCAAGAGCCUGAAGCUGACCUGGCAGCCAGGCCGAGUGGCCCGGCGCAAAGGCGUCCCCACGCUGUGUCCAGUCGCCACUCACUGCCCAGAGGCUGCGCCUGCCGCCAACAGCGAGCGACGGUGCCGCAUCUUAGCUGCUCAGGGAUUGUGUUCUCAGCAUAUUUGUGGAGUGUGGUUUCUAGCCGGUGUUUCUCAAGUUUCUGCCUUAAACUUGAAGGGACUUGGAAGGUGGUCUUGGCAGCAGAGUUGGGAGCUGAGAAACUGGUGGAAGAGGAGCGGCCUGCUGGUGCCGCGUGCUGUGCUCCGCGGGCUUUAAUAGAGCAGCGCAGUCGUGACGGCUGGUGCUUACCUGCGCCCCUGUGUGCCAGGCGCUGCUCGCGUGCUGCACCUGGAAGAGGCCAGGCCUCUGGAGCACAGAGAGGUUCGGGAACUUGCUCUAGGUCACACAGCUCAUAGGUUUUCGAAACCUAGAUUUGAACCCAGGCAGCCUGGCUUCCAGACCAGUGCCCUUGACGCCUACAUUCUGCUGCCCUGGUAAAUAGAGACACGUGAAUACAUACGUGUGUGUGGUGUACACGACCACGUAAAUACACACGUGUGUGUGGUGUACGUGAUCAUGUAAACCUACGCAGCGUGUAUCAGCAGCAGUAGGGAAGGGAUGUCUGUGUCACCCACAAUCCUGCCACACCGUGACUGUAAAAUUGUACUCGUACGUAUCGCGGGGCGAGGGUCAGUGUGCGUGUGCUUUGUCCUCUCCCCUUCGUACUGUCCUAUCUUAUUUACGAUCCGACCUAAGGGCCCACUGCGUGAUGUAUCAGACUUCCUGACGUGAUGGUUACAGGCUGUUUUUGUGCCGCCGUUGCUACCACAGAGGACGCCAGAGCUAACUCAGCGUGUGUGUUCUUUAGUUUCCUUUUCGGUGUCUCCUUGCGUGAGAUCCAAGGCCCGGGCGCGGCUCCUGCCCUCGUUCUCUGGGCAGCGUGGGCCCGGGGGUGGGGGGGGAGGAUAGGAUUCAGACGCACUCGGGGAUGAAGCUGGAUGUUAAAGGAUAGUUGAUGGGAGGGGUGCGAUGUGCGCGGUGGUGGCGUCUGAACUGCCAGCCGGGCGAGACGCAGCGUCUCCAGGCCGGGAAGCCACUCUAGCAGCUGCGCGGUGAGGCCUGGCCUCAUUUUUCUGACACUUGUGUCCCCCGUUUAAUAGAUUUAAGGAUAAAUGUUACGGGUUUUCUUUUAACUUGGCGUGUGUGAUUACAGUCACUAGUGGAAAUGCUUUGAGGAUGUGGCAUGUUUUAAAUUUAGUUCGUUGACAAAAACAUUUUUUUUUUCUCCCCAAAACGCCCUCUGCACGAUUCCUAAAAGCUUCUUUCAGUGGCUGCCAAACCUCACCUGGCUGGACCUCCGCUCUAAUAGGAUCACAGCGCUUCCUUCUGGGAUCGGCUGUCACAAGUGAGUUGCAUGUUUCUUUUCCCAGGUUAGGAGGUCACCAUCAUCUCCUUCAAAUGCCCGAGUGCCUGUUCUUUGGCUGCCUAACCACACCCCACCUCACUGAAUGUCGACUUUAGAGCAGAAGCGUGUAAUGGCGUUUUCAAAGCCAGCUCGGAGGUGCGGUGGCUGCAGGUACCAAAUGCACCUGUAUGGUUAUAGUUUAGGACGCGUAGCACCGCGGAGCACGCUGGCACCACAGCGCCUCUGCUGGGUGGUCCACGCGGCUUUUGCAGCCGGUUCCAUCUCUGACUCCCUCACGUGAAGCUGCCUGAAGGGUCAGAAAUACUGUACUGAAGAACCUAGGGGUAAGACGGGAAUAAAGACACAGACCUACUAGAGAAUGGACUUGAGGAUGUGGGGAGGGGGAAGGGUAAGCUGUGACAAAGUGAGAGAGUGGCAUGGACAUGUAUACACUACCAAACGUAAAAUAGAUAGCUAGUGGGAAGCAGCCGCAUAGCACAGGGAGAUCAGCUCGGUGCUUUGUGACCACCUAGAGGGGUGGGAUAGGGAGAGAGACGCAAGAGGGAAGAGAUACGGGAACAUAUGUAUGUGUAUAACUGAUUCACUUUGUUAUAAAGCAGAAACUAACACACCAUUGUAGAGCAAUUAUACUCCAAUAAAGAUGUU
rnacentral:lncRNA from 1 species